rnacentral:rRNA from 1 species
GUAGGUGGCAAGCGUUGUCCGGAAUUAUUGGGCGUAAAGCGCGCGCAGGCGGGUCCUUUAAGUCUGAUGUGAAAGCCCACGGGCUCAACCGUGGAGGGUCAUUGGAAACUGGGGGACUUGAGUACAGAAGAGGAAAGCGGAAUUCCAAGUGUAGCGGUGAAAUGCGUAGAGAUUUGGAGGAACACCAGUGGCGAAGGCGGCUUUCUGGUCUGUAACUGACGCUGAGGCGCGAAAGCGGGGGGAGCAAACAGGAUUAGAUACCCUGGUAGUCCACGCCGUAAACGAUGAGUGCUAAGUGUUAGGGGGUUUCCGCCCCUUAGUGCUGCAGCUAACGCAUUAAGCACUCCGCCUGGGGAGUACGGCCGCAAAGGCUGA